UUUUGCUUGGCUCGGCCAAACCCGGCUCUAGCCCGAAAAAAAUCUCGACAAUUUUAACUGAGCCGAGCUCGAGCCUCAAGUUUCGACUCGACUUGUUGACAUCCCAAUGUAAAUCUCACUGUCAAUUGUGUUAUUCAACCUUCAAAUCCCAAAAUAAACUACAAAUAUUGAGAAUUAAUGUAUUUUAAUGUGUGAUUUUGCCUCAAGAUUGUAUCUCCGGUCGUAGGAUCCUUUUUUGACUUCUCCAAUGAUGCUGAACGAUCCAUCCCGUUUUGCAUCUAAUUUUUCAACUAGUGCGUCCCUCAGAUCCAAUCGCCUUCUGAAACCUCUUUUCUCGAACAUUCUGGUGAAGUAUCCGGUCGUCUUUAUCUUAGAUGGCACCAGCACCUCACUGGCUGGUUCUCUUGCAUUUGUGUGGUAAGCCCAUAACAUGUUAGGAAUCACAUCGGUUCAUUCAUGCACCCUUAUGUUUCUCCAGUCUGGUCUUAAAAUCCCAUAGGAUCUUCCAACUGGUUACCUUUAACUGUUCGUUUGCCCGAGGGUAGUGAUCAAGGUUUUCCAAGGUAGAUUUUUUAGCUCGAAGAAAACUCAUCGAAAUCGUAGAAAAUGAAUGGUGUUAUGUUAUCAACGAUAAUCAACCGACUGAUGCCGAAACUGAAUAUAAUAUUUCUCCAUAUGAAACUCAGAUUUUCUCGAUGGUGAUUGUCACUAACAGUUCUAGCCUUGUAAUGUAUUGUACUUGUUCGUUAAAAUUUCGCGAGCGCACAAAAUCAUUGAUAAGUAAUAAUUUUAGUGGGUUAAGAGUAUUGUUCUGCAGAGAAAAAAAUUCUAAUUCAAGUUUACUAAUCUUAUAUGGAAUUCGAAGUUUGUC
rnacentral:lncRNA from 1 species